AACGUGGGAGGCAAACGUUAUCCGGAUUUACUGGGCGUAAAGGGAGUGUAGGCGGUUCUUUAAGUCAGGUGUGAAAUCUCUUGACUCAAUCAAGAGAAGUCAUCUGAAACUGAGGGACUUGAGGGCGGCAGAAGGAAACGGAAUUUCCGGUGUAGCGGUGAAAUGCGUUGAUACCGGGAAGAACACCAGUGGCGAAGGCGGUUUCCUAGGCUGUUUCUGACGCUGAGGCUCGAAAGCGUGGGGAGCGAAGCGGAUUAGAUACCCCCGUA
rnacentral:rRNA from 1 species